rnacentral:lncRNA from 1 species
GCAACGGACAAAAAGCAAAAGUAUCGGACAAAAAGCAAAAUAAUCGGACAAAAAGCAAAAGCGGACAAAAAGCAAAUCGCGGACAAAAAGCACCGUAUCAAGCGUCUCCUGUCAGUCAAAAUGUCACUUUCUGGAAUAUGAUAUAAUUUAUAAUAAUAAGUUUGAAGAAUAUUCUGGUACCAUAAGAACCAAGACUAUUAAAACAUGUAGACAAGUGAGUUGAGACACAGAUAGAUAUCGUUUCGGUAUUUGAAAAUUCAUGUACCAAGUCAUGAAUAUGACAGUUCUUGUCCAUUCGUGUUUGAUGUGUUUUUUCAUUUGAUUUUGCCAUGUGAUUAGGGACUUUCCGACUUGAUUUUCCUACCGAGUCCAGCAUUUUUGUGAUUUUUGCUUUUUGAUACGUGACGACGACAGUUAACCUUUUUUGUAGUUUUGAUUUUAGUAGUUCUGUCUAAUAACUCUAUUGGAGCACUUUUUGUGUUUGAAAUAUACCACUGCUAAUGAAACCGUAUAUCAAAAACAUGCAUAAGCGUGAUGUAUGAAAUGAGUUAUGUCUAUGUUGUAAGAUGGAGCAAAGGGUAUG